GACGAACGCUGGCGGCGUGCCUAAUACAUGCAAGUAGAACGCUGAAGGAGGAGCUUGCUCUUCUGGAUGAGUUGCGAACGGGUGAGUAACGCGUAGGUAACCUGCCUGGUAGCGGGGGAUAACUAUUGGAAACGAUAGCUAAUACCGCAUAAGAGUAGAUGUUGCAUGACAUUUUCUUAAAAGGUGCAAUUGCAUCACUACCAGAUGGACCUGCGUUGUAUUAGCUAGUUGGUGGGGUAACGGCUCAACAAGGCGACGAUACAUAGCCGACCUGGGAGGGUGAUCGGCCACACUGGGACUGAGACACGGCCCAGAAUCCUACGGGGGGCAGCAGUAGGGGAUCUUCGGCAAUGGACGGAAGUCUGACCGAGCAACGCCGCGGGGGUGAAGAAGGUUUUCGGAUCGUAAAGCUCUGUUGUAAGAGAAGAACGAGUGUGAAAGUGGAAAGUUCACACUGUGACGGUAUCUUACCAGAAAGGGACGGCUAACUACGUG
rnacentral:rRNA from 1 species